rnacentral:misc_RNA from 1 species
AAACUGCGAUACGUAGUGUGAAUUGCAGAAUUCAGUGAAUCAUCGAAUCUUUGAACGCAAAUUGCGCUGUCGGGAAUUCCUGACAGCAUACUUGGCUGAGUAUCAUCUGGAAAAAUCACAAAAAACUUUUUUUUUGUGGAAUUGAGGUGUCACAUUUGGUAAAAACUAAUGCGUCCCUUUAAAUAAAGAAAGGUUGAAAAGGAAUAUCAGUUGUCCUUGAUACCACUAGUGUGUUAUUUGUCCUUUGUGGCAUUACUUAAAGCACUAUGUCGGGACUUGGGCAAUUUAAAAGCUGAUAUUUUCUUUUUGUUGCUUUUAUGCAAUAUAUUGCCUUAUAAAAUUAAACUCUUUUGAAAUUUUGAUCUCAGCUCAAGUAAGACUACCCGCUGAAUUUAA